UACGGGGGGGAGCAAGCGUUGUUCGGAUUUACUGGGCGUAAAGGGUGUGUAGGCGGUUGUUUAAGUUUGGUGUGAAAUCUCCCGGCUCAACCGGGAGGGUGCGCCGAAUACUGAAUGACUAGAGUGCGGGAGAGGAAAGUGGAAUUCCUGGUGUAGCGGUGAAAUGCGUAGAUAUCAGGAGGAACACCGGUGGUGUAGACGGCUUUCUGGACCGUAACUGACGCUGAGACACGAAAGCGUGGGUAGCAAACAGG
rnacentral:rRNA from 1 species